rnacentral:lncRNA from 1 species
UCCAAAUUAGCAGAGAGGUGUUUGCCAUUCUUUGAUACGUUGAAGGGACUGAAGAAUGCGAAGACUUUCCAGUGGACUUCGGAGUGUGAAGACACCUUCCAAGGCAUAAAGACGUAUUUGUCUUCGGCUCCUUUAUUGGUGAAACCUGCUCCGGCUGAAACUUUGUAUUUAUACCUGGCAGCUAGUUCGUUGGCAGUUGGAG